rnacentral:rRNA from 1 species
UACGUAGGGUGCAAGCGUUGUCCGGAAUUAUUGGGCGUAAAGAGCUCGUAGGCGGCCUGUUGCGUCCGCUGUGAAAUCCCGGGGCUUAACCCCGGGCGUGCAGUGGAUACGGGCUGGCUGGAGGCAGGCAGGGGAGAACGGAAUUCCCGGUGUAGCGGUGAAAUGCGCAGAUAUCAGGAGGAACACCGGUGGUGUAAACGGCUUUCUGGACCAUAACUGACGCUGAGGCACGAAAGCGUGGGUAGCAAACAGG